UUACCCCUUCGCCAAGCGGCAAGGCAGCGGUCUUUGACACCGCCAUCCCAGGUUCGAAUCCUGGAGGGGUAGUC
rnacentral:tRNA from 1 species